rnacentral:rRNA from 1 species
AUUGAACGCUGGCGGCAGGCUUAACACAUGCAAGUCGAGCGGAGAGAGGUAGCUUGCUACUGAUCUUAGCGGCGGACGGGUGAGUAAUGCUUAGGAAUCUGCCUAUUAGUGGGGGACAACAUUUCGAAAGGAAUGCUAAUACCGCAUACGUCCUACGGGAGAAAGCAGGGGAUCUUCGGACCUUGCGCUAAUAGAUGAGCCUAAGUCGGAUUAGCUAGUUGGUGGGGUAAAGGCCUACCAAGGCGACGAUCUGUAGCGGGUCUGAGAGGAUGAUCCGGCACGCUGGGACUGAGACACGGCCCAGACUCCUACGGGAGGCAGCAGUGGGGAAUAUUGGACAAUGGGCGGAAGCCUGAUCUAGCCAUGCCGCGUGCGUGAAGAGGGCCUUAUGGUUGUAAAGCACUUUAAGCGAGGAGGAGGCUACUUUAGUUAAUACCUAGAGAUAGUGGACGUUACUCGCAGAAUAAGCACCGGCUAACUCUGUGCCAGCCGCCGCAGUAA